CCCAUCAUGACAGCUACUUUUCAUGGCUCCCACUGUACAGUGCUCUACUGUUCUGUGGUGCGGCUAUUUCUGUUGGAAGUUAGUUGCCUCUAUUCAUUGAAGCUACUGAAAGUUUUCUUCACUUGACUACAGUAUGGAUAUGGAGCAUCUGUAACUGUCCUUCCAAGAAGUCUUUCUGGCAAGCAUCAGAUGACUUAACCAUUUGCUCCCUUUACAUUGUGGUUUCUUUUCAUCUUCAUUUUUCCACUGAUAUGUAAAGCUGGAUAGCAUCUAAGACUGCAGUAGACUAUGAGAGGAAGAAGAAGAGGAAGGGCUGCUCAGCUGUUGUGAUACCCAGAUGGGGCUGCUUACACCUGCUUCUGCUGAACCAGGCUGCUCAACCAAGCCAGGUGUAAACCAGUGUUCUGUAAAUGUUCAUCUAAAAUUGGUGUUCCAUCAUCGUGGGGGAAGAGCACAUUUGGAGGGCCUCCAGCCCACUGGGUGAUGUCAACCAUGCUCAGGGCUGGCACUCUGCACUCAGAUCUGCAGACCCACACACCAGUCUUCUCUGGAAACACCCUCACAGAAACCCUCAGAAGUCUGCAUUUUGACUGCAUUCUUUAGUUCAGUCAAAUUGACAACCAAAAUUAUCCAUUACCAUGUGACCAGUAGCAAGCAGAGAUGAAUGUUGUGGUGAGCCACCAUGUUUACCCAGAACCUGUUUCCACCAUCCUUUUUCUUUUAACAUUUAUUCCACAAAGUUUGGGUUGGGGAUGUAUUUUACAUUUUACUUAGGUUGCCAUUUGCUACAAGCUUGGAACUUAGUAUGGCUUGUUUUCCAUGAACUGGAAAUACAAUUGUGAACUUUAAAGUUCCCUCUGACCACAAUUGACCUGCUAUAAGGAGCUGUCACUGGGAAGUAAUUUGCACAUUGUAUGAACCAAACACCUUUAUGAACUUCUGAUAUAUUUUAUUCUUGAGAAGGACCUUGGGUGUUAGUGGUGCUGUGUUUGGAGAUGGACGCUGGCUGGCCUAAACUUAUGAUCCUCCUGCCUCAGCCUCCUGAAUGCUAGGAUUACAAAUGUGUGUUUCUUCCUGACUGACCUUUGUUUUAUUGGUGUAUAUUGUCAAUGUGUGGUUGUAAGCAUUUUAUUCUAUUCAUACUAGAGAAGGCUUACUUUGGAUUUACACCAAUAAGGCAAAUGUUUUUGAUACUACAGAAAUUUGAUCCAUUAGUAAGUGAACUAGUUGAUGCCUAGUUCUCAGUGGGAACUUAAUAAUGGAUAAAUAAUAAUAGUUGUUUAUAAAAUUAACUAUGGAUUUGGCUAAAGAGAAAAGUUAUAAAUCUGUCUCCAGGCAUGAAAUACUGACCUGUCUUUGGAGGUUUAACCAAAUAUACAGUUGGAAAUCUCAGCUGUUGUGACCAAGUGAAAUCAAUGACCUGUGUUACCUAUAACACUGUGCAUUGGAGAGCACCAAAGAUCAAUAUAAUAACAUGUGCCAUUGUUGAUGUAGAAUGGAAGAAUGAUUCUGGCAUUGCCUACUUGCCUCAUUUGCAUUUCUUCACAUGUCUGUUGAAAUUCAAAGAACAUUAAAGUGUUCAGCAUAAGGAAACAACACAGACUUCUCCAUUUACUUCUUAACUUCACAGCAGUAGGGUCAGAUUUUACCAUCUCUGAAAGUCUUCACUAGUUCAAAAUAUUGUAACUUUAUAUAACUAAAUCUACCUUCUUUAAUACUCCUUUUGGCAAAGCUAUCCAUGCUAGGGGCUGUUUCUCUUUCAAUUUGAAAUUAAAAACAUUGCAAACCAUGUUACAUUUGGCUCAGUAGAGUAAGAUUGAAUUAAAAGAUGCAUCUGUAUUCCUGACUUAUCUCAUCAGAGGAGGAAAGAGGGCCAGGGAAAAUAGAAAUAUUUAUUCUUUGAACAGCAACAUAAAAAUCCAGACUGCCUGUUCUGUAGGAAAGGUACAUUCGUAAGCUUAUAUGUUUAUGU